UGGGGAAUUUUGGACAAUGGGCGCAAGCCUGAUCCAGCCAUUCCGCGUGCAGGAUGAAGGCCCUCGGGUUGUAAACUGCUUUUGUACGGAACGAAACGGCGCUUUCUAAUACAGAGCGCUAAUGACGGUACCGUAAGAAUAAGCACCGGCUAACUACGUGCCAGCAGCCGCGGUAAUACGUAGGGUGCAAGCGUUAAUCGGAAUUACUGGGCGUAAAGCGUGCGCAGGCGGUGAUGUAAGACAGAUGUGAAAUCCCCGGGCUCAACCUGGGAACUGCAUUUGUGACUGCAUCGCUGGAGUGCGGCAGAGGGGGAUGUAAUUCCGCGUGUAGCAGUGAAAUGCGUAGAUAUGCGGAGGAACACCGAUGGCGAAGGCAAUCCCCUGGGCCUGCAGUGACGCUCAUGCACGAAGGCGUGGGGAGCAAACAGG
rnacentral:rRNA from 1 species